AUCAACAAAAAUUCUUCGUUGAUAUUUGGAAACAUUCGUCUGUUUGAUAUUGAAUUUUGGACCACAGACAGUGUUACACAAAGAGCUGCCAAACGUAUCAUUGAAUCAUUCACACAAUGCCGUUGCCUGGAUUUUCACUGAUAGUUAUGGGAGCUAUGGAGCUCAGGAAAUGGUGGGAUAAGAAAAAUACAAGACGUGUACAGAGGAUUAUUAUAAAUCCACAAGAUAUUGGAACAGACGUGGACACAGGUGUUAGCGAAGAUGUGCUAGAUCAUUAUGUUUCUACUGAAGUAGACGGUCUAUUAAGGCGCAUACAAAA